rnacentral:rRNA from 1 species
UUUGGUCGUCUCCGGCCUUACGACGCUGCCGAGUUUCAUUUUUAAACUCUACAAGUCUAAGAAUGUAACAAACCUAAAACCAAAAAGAAAAACUUUCAACAACGGAUCUCUUGGCUCUCGCAUCGAUGAAGAACGCAGCGAAAUGUGAUAAGUAAUGUGAAUUGCAGAAUUCAGUGAAUCAUCGAAUCUUUGAACGCAUCUUGCGCUCGCUGGUAUUCCGGCGAGCAUGCCUGUUUGAGUGUCAUGAACUCCUCAACCCUCCGGUUCCUUGUUGAACUGCGAGGUGUUUGGAUUCUGAAUGUUGCUGGCCUGAAGUCUCGGGAUUUCAAAGGCGAAGCUCGUUCGUAAUACAUUAGCAUCUCGAUUUCGAGUAUUCGGAUUGACUCGGCGUAAUAGACUUUAUUCGCUGAGGACACUUGGUUUUCAAGUGGCCGAAUUUCGAGGUGGAAGCUUCCAACUCUACUGAAGUCAAAUCUAUAACUAGACCUCAGAUCAGGC